rnacentral:sRNA from 1 species
AGUAGCUCGCGCGGUGCCUGUCGGUAGCCGCGUGCGGGGCAGCGGGGCAGCGGGCGGCGGCCAUGGGAGAUAUCCCAGCCGUGGGCCUCAGCUCCUGGAAGGCUUCUCCAGGGAAAGUGACUGAGGCAGUGAAAGUGGCCAUUGACGCAGGGUACUGGCACUUCGACUGUGCUUACUUUUACCACAACGAGAGGGAGGUUGGAGCAGGGAUCCGUUGCAAGAUCAAGGAAGGCGCUGUAAGACGGGAGGAUCUGUUCAUUGCCACUAAGCCUCCUCAUCCAGAAUGGAUCAUGAGCUGCAGUGAACUUUCCUUCUGCCUCUCACAUCCUGGAGUGUAGGACUUGCCUCUGGACGAGAGCAACAUGGUCAUUCCCGGUGACACGGACUUCCUGGACACGUGGGAGGCCAUGGAGGACCUGGUGAUCAUCGGGCUGGUGAAGAACAUCGGGGUGUCAAACUUCAACCAUGAACAGCUUGAGAGGCUUUUGAAUAAGCCUGGGUUGAGGUUCAAGCCACUAACCAACCAGAUUGUGAUCCGAUUUCAAAUCCAGAGGAACGUGAUAGUGAUCCCUGGAUCUAUCACCCCAAGUCACAUUAAAGAGAAUAUCCAGGUCUGCUACACACUGAGGGGAAAUGCCAUCCUCAGGCAGUGAGACAGGACCAGGCUGACGUGAGACCUGAAGGCCAAAGCCGAAGUGAUCUGAUGGCUCAGGACAGACAGCAGCAGCGGGUUAGGAGGGGCCGGAGGAAGUGCUUAUGCUGUCAGGAGGAGGUGGGAGCCGGGUCCACGAGACUCACCAGGGAGAAAAAAGGCGUCCAGUGCAGGGGGCUACCCCGGCCCGCCCCCUGUGGCCCCGGUGCCACUCAGAACUGCUGCUACAAGGCUGCCCACCCUUUAUAAGGACUCUUCUAGAACUGCUCACUGUUCCCCUUAAACCCAAGAAUCCGCCUACCCCGGCCCCAGCACUCCCCACUCCCUCCAGAUGACACGCUGAGGCUACUUUCUCCUGGCCUCAGGAGGGGGAGGCUCUUG